rnacentral:rRNA from 1 species
AUGAACGCUAGCUACAGGCUUAACACAUGCAAGUCGCAGGGUAACAUGAGGAAAGCUUGCUUUCCUUGAUGACGACUGGCGCACGGGUGAGUAACGCGUAUCCAACCUUCCCAUAACUACGGGAUAACCCGUUGAAAGACGGCCUAAUACCGUAUGAUAUCGUUUGCUGACAUCAAAUAACGAUUAAAGGUUUAGCGGUUAUGGAUGGGGAUGCGUCUGAUUAGCUUGUUGGCGGGGUAACGGCACACCAAGGCGACGAUCAGUAGGGGUUCUGAGAGGAAGGUCCCCCACAUUGGAACUGAGGCACGGUCCACAAUCCUACGGGAGGCAGGGGUGAAGAAUAUUGGUCAAGGGGCGAGGGCCUGAACCAGCCAAGUAGCGUGCAGGACGACGGCCCUAUGGGUUGUAAACUGCUUUGAUGUGGGGAUAAAGUGCGUGACGUGUCAUGCAUUGCAGGUACCACAUGAAUAAGGACCGGCUAAUUCCGUG